CUGGUGCUUGCUUCUUACGCCCAGUCUGGGGUGGGUGCUGGGGGUUAAGGCUUUAGGGCGCUUUUCAAUGGCAUGAAAUACCGUCCCUAUUGCCGUGGAGACCUGUUUUCUGUCGGACACCUAUAGCAUCUUUAUUUAGAUUGAUGGCUGUCCAACGGGGCAGGGUGAAACCUGCAUUGCGGUGCGGUGGCGGUUUCGUUCAUACUUUGGUCUCGGCCAAAAGUGACGGAAAAAAGACCUAAGUGCUGUGUGCAGAGUAGCCUGCCUUGAGUGGUCAUGGUGGAUAAAGUACCUGCCCUUUUUAGUACGGCCAUACUCUAAAGGGAAUCGAUUUUGAAACCAUGCCUGCAAAAGAGGCUAAGGGUCGUGUUGGCUGUUGUGGAAAUCACCUAGGCUGUCCUUUGCGGGCAGAUGAGGGAUUGCAGUACGGACUAAGUGGCAAUUCGGUCUCGAAUAUGGUAACAUAUCGACGCACCUUUUAAAGGGAAACCGCCAGAGCGGCGACGCAUGGUAAGUUGUGGGGAAAUCCAACCGAACCUAAGCCGUAAGAUUUACCUUGUCUGCUGUCACCUUUUUUAUCUA
rnacentral:sRNA from 1 species